GGUAACAUGGCUGAGUGGUAAAGCAUAG
rnacentral:tRNA from 1 species